rnacentral:rRNA from 1 species
CAAUAGCGUAUGUUAAAGUUGUUGCAGUUAAAAAGCUCGUAGUUGGAUUUCUGGUGGGAGCGAUCGGUCUGGCGCUUAGCGCGAGUACUUGCAUCGUCUCCGGCCAUCCUUGGGGAGAGUCUGUCUGGCAUUAGGUUGUCGGGCAGAGGAUCCUCAUCGUUUACUGUGAAAAAAUUAGGGUGUUCAAAGCAGGCUUAUGCCGUUGAAUAUAUUAGCAUGGAAUAAUAAGAUAGGACUUUGGUACUAUUUUGUUGGUUUGCGCACCAAAGUAAUGAUUAAUAGGGACAGUUGGGGGUAUUCGUAUUCCGUUGUCAGAGGUGAAAUUCUUGGAUUUACGGAAGACGAACUACUGCGAAAGCAUUUACCAAGGAUGUUUUCAUUAA